AGAGUUCGAUCCUGGCUCAGGACGAACGCUGGCGGCGUGCCUAAUACAUGCAAGUCGAGCGGACAGAUGGGAGCUUGCUCCCUGAUGUUAGCGGCGGACGGGUGAGUAACACGUGGGUAACCUGCCUGUAAGACUGGGAUAACUCCGGGAAACCGGGGCUAAUACCGGAUGGUUGUUUGAACCGCAUGGUUCAAACAUAAAAGGUGGCUUCGGCUACCACUUACAGAUGGACCCGCGGCGCAUUAGCUAGUUGGUGAGGUAACGGCUCACCAAGGCGACGAUGCGUAGCCGACCUGAGAGGGUGAUCGGCCACACUGGGACUGAGACACGGCCCAGACUCCUACGGGAGGCAGCAGUAGGGAAUCUUCCGCAAUGGACGAAAGUCUGACGGAGCAACGCCGCGUGAGUGAUGAAGGUUUUCGGAUCGUAAAGCUCUGUUGUUAGGGAAGAACAAGUACCGUUCGAAUAGGGCGGUACCUUGACGGUACCUAACCAGAAAGCCACGGCUAACUACGUGCCAGCAGCCGCGGUAAUACGUAGGUGGCAAGCGUUGUCCGGAAUUAUUGGGCGUAAAGGGCUCGCAGGCGGUUUCUUAAGUCUGAUGUGAAAGCCCCCGGCUCAACCGGGGAGGGUCAUUGGAAACUGGGGAACUUGAGUGCAGAAGAGGAGAGUGGAAUUCCACGUGUAGCGGUGAAAUGCGUAGAGAUGUGGAGGAACACCAGUGGCGAAGGCGACUCUCUGGUCUGUAACUGACGCUGAGGAGCGAAAGCGUGGGGAGCGAACAGGAUUAGAUACCCUGGUAGUCCACGCCGUAAACGAUGAGUGCUAAGUGUUAGGGGGUUUCCGCCCCUUAGUGCUGCAGCUAACGCAUUAAGCACUCCGCCUGGGGAGUACGGUCGCAAGACUGAAACUCAAAGGAAUUGACGGGGGCCCGCACAAGCGGUGGAGCAUGUGGUUUAAUUCGAAGCAACGCGAAGAACCUUACCAGGUCUUGACAUCCUCUGACAAUCCUAGAGAUAGGACGUCCCCUUCGGGGGCAGAGUGACAGGUGGUGCAUGGUUGUCGUCAGCUCGUGUCGUGAGAUGUUGGGCUAAGUCCCGCAACGAGCGCAACCCUUGAUCUUAGUUGCCAGCAUUCAGUUGGGCACUCUAAGGUGACUGCCGGUGACAAACCGGAGGAAGGUGGGGAUGACGUCAAAUCAUCAUGCCCCUUAUGACCUGGGCUACACACGUGCUACAAUGGACAGAACAAAGGGCAGCGAAACCGCGAGGUUAAGCCAAUCCCACA
rnacentral:rRNA from 1 species